UGCGGCGCAUUAGGUAGUUGGUAGGGUAACGGCCUACCAAGCCGACGAUGCGUAGGGGUUCUGAGAGGAAGGUCCCCCCACAUUGGAACUGAGACACGGUCCAAACUCCUACGGAAGGCAGCAG
rnacentral:rRNA from 1 species